AAACUGAAGAGUUUGAUCAUGGCUCAGAUUGAACGCUGGCGGCAGGCCUAACACAUGCAAGUCGAGCGGAAACGAUGGAAGCUUGCUUCCAGGCGUCGAGCGGCGGACGGGUGAGUAAUGCAUAGGAAUCUGCCCGAUAGUGGGGGAUAACCUGGGGAAACUCAGGCUAAUACCGCAUACGUCCUACGGGAGAAAGCAGGGGAUCUUCGGACCUUGCGCUAUCGGAUGAGCCUAUGUCGGAUUAGCUAGUUGGUGAGGUAACGGCUCACCAAGGCCGCGAUCCGUAGCUGGUCUGAGAGGAUGAUCAGCCACAUCGGGACUGAGACACGGCCCGAACUCCUACGGGAGGCAGCAGUGGGGAAUAUUGGACAAUGGGCGAAAGCCUGAUCCAGCCAUGCCGCGUGUGUGAAGAAGGCCUUCGGGUUGUAAAGCACUUUCAGUGGGGAAGAAAUCCUCAGGGCCAAUACCCCUGAGGGAGGACAUCACCCACAGAAGAAGCACCGGCUAACUCCGUGCCAGCAGCCGCGGUAAUACGGAGGGUGCAA
rnacentral:rRNA from 1 species